ACGGGAGGCAGCAGUGGGGAAUAUUGGGCAAUGGGCGAAAGCCUGACCCAGCAACGCCGCGUGAAGGAAGAAGGUCUUCGGAUUGUAAACUUCUUUUAUGAGGGACGAAGGACGUGACGGUACCUCAUGAAUAAGCCACGGCUCACUACGUGCCAGCAGCCGCGGUAAUACGUAGGUGGCGAGCGUUAUCCGGAUUUACUGGGUGUAAAGGGCGCGUAGGCGGGGAUGCAAGUCAGAUGUGAAAUCUAUGGGCUUAACCCCUAAACUGCUUUUGAAACUGUAUCCCUUGAGUAUCGGAGAGGCAGGCGGAAUUCCUAGUGUAGCGGUGAAAUGCGUAGAUAUUAGGAAGAACACCAGUGGCGAAGGCGGCCUGCUGGACGACAACUGACGCUGAGGCGCGAAAGCGUGGGGAGCAAACAGGAUUAGAUACCCUGGUA
rnacentral:rRNA from 1 species